rnacentral:rRNA from 1 species
GACGAACGCUGGCGGCGUGCCUAACACAUGCAAGUCAGGGAGAAAAGGGUAGCAAUAUCCUGAGUAAACCGGCGAACGGGUGAGUAACACGUAGGCAACUUACCUUGUGAACGGGAAUAACCCCGGGAAACCGGGGCUAAUACCCGAUGUUAUUCCGUUGUAACAUUGCAAUGGAAUAAAAAGCCCGCAAGGGCGUCACAAGAUAGGCCUGCGUCCCAUUAGAUAGUUGGCGGGGUAACAGCCCACCAAGUCGACGAGU